rnacentral:rRNA from 1 species
CCCCGUGCACCUUUACUACAGCUUUGCAGUGGCAUCAGAAUGUGAAUGUGUAGGAUAGGCGGGAGGCUUUGAAGCGAGGGCGCCAGUUCUCGUGGAGCCACCCUUGAAAUACCGCCCUUUGACGUUUUGAUGUCUAACCGCGGCCCGUGAUCCGGGUCCGGGACCCUGCAUGGCGGGUAGUUUGACUGGGGCGGGCGCCUCCUAAAAGGGAAAGGAG